UACAGAGGUCCCGAGCGUUGUUCGGAUUCACUGGGCGUAAAGGGCUCGUAGGCGGCCAACUAAGUCGGAUGUGAAAUCCCCAGGCUUAACCUGGGAACUGCAUCCGAUACUGGAUGGCUUGAAUCCGGGAGAGGGAUGCGGAAUUCCAGGUGUAGCGGUGAAAUGCGUAGAUAUCUGGAGGAACACCGGUGGCGAAGGCGGCAUCCUGGACCGGCAUUGACGCUGAGGAGCGAAAGCCAGGGGAGCAAACGGG
rnacentral:rRNA from 1 species